rnacentral:lncRNA from 1 species
AAGGGAGCUGUCAUCUCCAUCUGACGUAUGAGGAAAUGGAGGCCCAGCAAGGCGGAGCCACUGCUCUCAAAUCAUGUUGCCUCUGAGUUGUGAAACUGGGGUUUGAAUCCACUGUGACAUGGCCGAGCUUCUACUCUUCUCCAGCACCAGGCUACAAAGAAGUGAAGCCAAGGAGGACUCUCCUUCUGCAGGCCAUCGAGGGACAUGGGACAAGGGGGAGAGCGCUGAGCGGGACUGUUAAACACCCCACAGAGCGCAAGACAGCCCCCACGCAAAGGAUCAACUCAGCUCACGUGUCAGCAGUACCGAAGGGCAGUACCGAGUCCGCGAGGUUGCAGCCGUACAACAGGCUGGAUUUGCCGUCUUUUUGCAGUGAGCUCUGGAUAAUGGCAUCAUUAACUCGGUUACGUGCCCAUUUGGCAGGGGAACAGGUGGGCAGCACAGAGGUAAUGGCGCUAGAAUGACGAGAAGAGCAAAAAGUAAAUUGUGUAAAGGUCCCAGAUGAUUAAACAAUUACUCUCUUUGUAGUUCAUAUUUUAGAGUAAACAGCAUUUACCCUUGACUGCAUGUUUUUUUCUGUCUCGGAAACUCUGCCUCUGCGGGCUGUGCGUGCGUCCCCUUUGUCCCCGAUGAAAUGAGAUCCCGCCCGGGACAGCCCGGUGGCCAGAGGCUGCUGAUCGGGCCAGACAGAAAAGGCCGCUGCCCUCCCGCUCCUGGUCCCUCGCACGUCAGCUCUGACUCCCAAGCGCGGGGCGCCCCUCGCUGCUCUCCGCCCGCUCAUUCAGGGGUUCACCUCCUCUCCCUAAUAUGUACCAAC